CGACAACUGAAUAUGUAAACUACCUCGUGUUUGGGCUUAAAUUAUUUGUAUUGACAAGACCUUUGCAACAGUGAAGGUUUGGAGCUGACCUGAUGAUGGAGACCAGAGAAAGUCGAGGGAACUCGACAACUGAAUAUGUAAAAUACCUCGUUUGGACUUAUAU
rnacentral:lncRNA from 1 species